rnacentral:rRNA from 1 species
GUAGUCUCGCACAGAUGCAUAUCAAUAAGCGGAGGAAAAGAAGCUAACAAGGAUUCCCCUAGUAACGGCGAGUGAAGUGGGAAGAGCUCAAAUUUGAAAUCUUAAAGGGUUUCCCUUUACGAAUUGUAGUUUAAAGAAGUGUUUUCUGUUGAGGUUUUGGUAAAAGUUCUUUGGAAUAGGACAUCAUAGAGGGUGAGAAUCCCGUAUUUGACCUUUACUUUCAACUUUGUGAUACACUUUCAAAGAGUCGGAUUGUUUGGGAAUGCAGUCCAAAAUGGGUGGUAAAUCUCAUCUAAAGCUAAAUAUUGGCGAGAGACCGAUAGCGAACAAGUACCGUGAGGGAAAGAUGAAAAGAACUUUGAAAAGAGAGUUAAACAGUACGUGAAAUUGUCAAAAGGGAAGCGUUUGACACCAGUGUUGUUUUUCUGAAAAUCAAUUAAAGAACUGUUUAUGCUAAGCUGUUUAGACUUUAUCAGCUAUCUGUUUAGUUUUGAGCUUUUCUUUAAUGCACUUUUCAGUUAACAAGUCAACAUCAAUUUCUUUUGCUGUAAAAAAGCUUGAGGAAGGUGGCUUGAGAUUCGUCUUAAGUGUUUAUAGCCUCUUGCCUAUGCAGUCGGAGAGAUUGAGGUCUGCAGCGUAGAUCCUUCGGGGCUAAAUGCAUUUGUGCUAAGUUAUAGCAUUUUAUAGACAACUUGUUGACUAUGAUUUGUCUUGUAGCUUACUCGCUUAUGUUAUUUUACCUACGCUUAGGAUGUUGAUCUGUAGUGCGUGCG